rnacentral:lncRNA from 1 species
AUGAGAUUCAGGGUUUUUUUUGUUUUUUUAAUUCUUGUUAUUCUUGCCACAAAAGUUUCCAGUGAAAACCAGAAAAACCGAACCUCAGCUUCCAUACCAAUAUUUUCCAUGCUAGUUGCCACAUGGGUUUCUCUCAUUGAUUGGAAAAUCGCAGUGAAGGGUGAAGGUGAUCAAACACAAGACCAAAUACAGGAUUGGAGUCAUCAGAAGGAACCCGAAUCAGUAAAGAGCAAAGAUGGAGUCAUCUGGAGGAACCUGGAUAGGAUUCGGAUUUCAGCCGCUACUCCACUACCCUCAAAACCCAUUCAGGCGCAGCCAUAUCAUCAAUUUGGAUUCAGACCAGAUCACUCUACCCUGGAUAUGCUGCUUCUGCUCUCCCAACAAUGGAUGGAGAUCCUCAAUGCCGGACAUGAAAUCAGAGCCAUCGCCCUAGACGUAUCGCGUGCCCUCGAUUUGGUCUGGCACCCUGCCCUGCUCACCAAACUCUCUUCCUAUGGUAUUGUCGAUGCAAUUUCUCCAAAAUUAGCCAUAAUGGGCUUGAGGGUGAUAAAAUCAAUAAUAAAAUUGUCAAUUAAACUUGAUGUUGAAAUUAAUGUAUUGUUAUAAAUCUGUAAUGGAAAAUGUACUCAAAUAUGGCAUGAUUUUAUGUGCAUGAAUCUAUUUUUUAACAUGAAUCUAUUUUAAUUUUAAUUUACAUAAUCAUAUCUUUCCUCUGUACUGAAAGAUGAUCAACCUGCAGAGUAAAGAUAUUCAAAUCAGGGUUGGCCUUUCAACUAAAACUUUAGUCAUUAUUCAGUAUAAAAUAAUUGCCUAUCAUUGAAAACUAUAUUGCUUGCUAAGUUUUUUUUAUGAAAGGCACCAGCAAGCUGGAUGGGGAAUAUUAUUUCAGCGCAACUGGAAUGUUGGUUUCAGGAAAUAUCCAGAUGUAUUCACGAAGCUCUAAUUGCUUCAAGAUAGGACAUAUUUCCCCAGUCUGUUAGAAGCAGACUGAUUUUUAACCUACAUACUAUAGAAAUCCAUCAAAAUACCCAAAGGGUUGCAGUUUUGACAUCAUUGUCAUUCUGUGCCAGGAGAAAAUCUACACAUAUAGGUUUGAAAUAUAUGCUGCAUUCCUACAACCAAAUCAAGCUGGUGGUGGCACAAAGGUUGAAAAUUAUCUCCACCUGGGAUUAUAAACUGUGGUGCCAGCAUUUGGAGAAAAAAAAGAAGAAAAUAAUUAUGUUACACUGAAAACUAUGAAAAGAACUCAACAUUUCCAUGCAUCUCAGAGAUUCUGGAGCAAGACUGUGUUCUUCUCACCAGAUUACUUCAUAUGCGC